AUUGAACGCUGGCGGCAGGCCUAACACAUGCAAGUCGAGCGGAUGAAGGGAGCUUGCUCCUGGAUUCAGCGGCGGACGGGUGAGUAAUGCCUAGGAAUCUGCCUGGUAGUGGGGGAUAACGUCCGGAAACGGGCGCUAAUACCGCAUACGUCCUGAGGGAGAAAGUGGGGGAUCUUCGGACCUCACGCUAUCAGAUGAGCCUAGGUCGGAUUAGCUAGUUGGUGGGGUAAAGGCCUACCAAGGCGACGAUCCGUAACUGGUCUGAGAGGAUGAUCAGUCACAGUGGAAAGUAAAAAAGGUCCAGAACCCUACGGGAGGCAGCAGGGGGGAAUUGUGGAAAAGGGGGGAAAGCCGGAUCCAACCAUGCCGCGGGUGGGAAGAAGGUUUUUGGAUUGUAAAGCACUUUAAGGUGGGAGGAAGGGCAGUAAGUUAAUACCUUGCUGUUUUGACUUUACCAACAGAAUAAGCAACGGCUAACUUCGU
rnacentral:rRNA from 1 species